GACGAACGCUGGCGGCGUGCUUAACACAUGCAAGUCGAACGGAAAGGCCCUGCUUUUGUGGGGUGCUCGAGUGGCGAACGGGUGAGUAACACGUGAGUAACCUGCCCUUGACUUUGGGAUAACUUCAGGAAACUGGGGCUAAUACCGGAUAGGAGCUCCUGCUGCAUGGUGGGGGUUGGAAAGUUUCGGCGGUUGGGGAUGGACUCGCGGCUUAUCAGCUUGUUGGUGGGGUAGUGGCUUACCAAGGCUUUGACGGGUAGCCGGCCUGAGAGGGUGACCGGCCACAUUGGGACUGAGAUACGGCCCAGACCCCUACGGGAGGCAGCAGUGGGGAAUAUUGCACAAUGGGCGGAAGCCUGAUGCAGCAACGCCGCGUGCGGGAUGACGGCCUUCGGGUUGUAAACCGCUUUCGCCUGUGACGAAGCGUGAGUGACGGUAAUGGGUAAAGAAGCACCGGCUAACUACGCG
rnacentral:rRNA from 1 species